UACCAGACUCCUACGGGAGGCAGCAGUGGGGAAUAUUGCACAAUGGGGGAAACCCUGAUGCAGCAACGCCGCGUGAGUGAAGAAGUAUUUCGGUAUGUAAAGCUCUAUCAGCAGGGAAGAAGAUGACGGUACCUGACCAAGAAGCCCCGGCUAACUACGUGCCAGCAGCCGCGGUAAUGCGUAGGGGGCAAGCGUUAUCCGGAUUUACUGGGUGUAAAGGGAGCGUAGACGGUGAAGCAAGUCUGAAGUGAAAGGCGGGGGCUCAACCCCCGGACUGCUUUGGAAACUGUUUGACUGGAGUGCAGGAGAGGUAGGUGGAAUUCCUAGUGUAGCGGUGAAAUGCGUAGAUAUUAGGAGGAACACCAGUGGCGAAGGCGGCUUACUGGACUGUAACUGACGUUGAGGCUCGAAAGCGUGGGGAGCAAACAGGAUUAGAUACCCCGGUAU
rnacentral:rRNA from 1 species